rnacentral:rRNA from 1 species
GAUGAACGCUGGCGGCGUGCCUAAUACAUGCAAGUCGAGCGAACGGACGAGAAGCUUGCUUCUCUGAUGUUUGCGGCGGACGGGUGAGUAACACGUGGAUAACCUACCUAUAAGACUGGGAUAACUUCGGGAAACCGGAGCUAAUACCGGAUGAUAUUUUGAACCGCAUGGUUCAAAAGUGAAAGACGGUCUUGCUGUCACUUAUAGAUGGAUCCGCGCUGCAUUAGCUAGUUGGUAAGGUAACGGCUUACCAAGGCAACGAUGCAUAGCCGACCUGAGAGGGUGAUCGGCCACACUGGAACUGAGACACGGUCCAGACUCCUACGGGAGGCAGCAGUAGGGAAUCUUCCGCAAUGGGCGAAAGCCUGACGGAGCAACGCCGCGUGAGUGAUGAAGGUCUUCGGAUCGUAAAACUCUGUUAUUAGGGAAGAACAUAUGUGUAAGUAACUGUGCACAUCUUGACGGUACCUAAUCAGAAAGCCACGGCUAACUACGUG